GGAGGCUCAACAGGAAUGGGAAAGCCGUGGGGAUCCAUGCUGAGGAAAGGGCGUUCGUAGGCGCAUAUUCCAAGGGAGCACUGGAAGGUGACGUACUCGCGGAAAAUCCACGGACAGAGGUCGCAUCUAGUAGCCGGGCGGAUUUCUGGGAUUAGUACGUUGCAGUUCUCACAAUAUUCAUACUCCUGAUUCAAGCCGACAGCUAGGUAGUGGCGGAAACCUUCAAAAUACAGCUCUCGUUUCUGGGGUGAAAGAGUUUUGACGCACUCGUAGCAUAGAGAGGAGCCAGUUUCCUUAUGGUUUGCGAAGAGAAUGAGGCAGCAGCGAGCCGACUGAGACCAGGGUCGACCUAGCCCAAGGACACCCUUAAUUAUUAGAGGCCAUUGAGGCCAGCGAUCAAGAGGGUUACUCAACUGAUUUGACAUGGCAUGAUAGCAACGCCUGUGGCCGAGCGGAAAAUCACGGGCGUUACGGGGGAGUUGCUCCGGCAUGUGGUGUAGACGGUAGCGAGGUAAAUUGUUAAAGUGAUAUGACAACGUGGUGAAUAAGUAAAUUCGAAUACUAUGAAUUACGUGUAAGUGUUUAAGUCACUGUAAGA